GCGCCCGUAGCUCAGUGGAUAGAGCACUGGCCUCCGGAGCCAGGUGUCGGACGUUCGAAUCGUCUCGGGCGCGCCA
rnacentral:tRNA from 1 species